AGAUUCAGAAGCAGAGUCCCACCUGGGUCACCAAAACUGUCACCGAAAUAGGAAAUAAAACUCCUUAACACCAAUGUAGCAUUAAGAAGCAGGCAUUCUCUUUAUUAUGGCGCCGGGUGCAUGGGGGAUCGCUCUGCCCAAUGUGCAUGCCAUAUGUUGCAUUAGCCAAAGUUUAUAUUCCUCUGUUACAUACAUAUAUGCAUUAAAUUUCCAGGAAUGAUUAUACAUAUUCAUUCUAUUUCCUGGAACUAAUCACCAUAUUUACAUAGUCAUUACACAUGCGGUCUGAGUCUCUGGGGGUCUUCUGUGGGGGUCUCUGGUGGUCCCUGGUGGUCCCUAGUGGUUGCUGAAGAGGUGCCUUUUCCAUGAACUCUGAGCUCCUUUUCCAUAUAUGGUCUCGGCUUGGCUCAUUUCUUUGCUUGAGAAAGCUGUAUUCCUCCUAACCUUGGUUUCACCUGGUUUCUGCUGGUUUAUCUGUACCCCCUUAGGAUGUAUCAGUGAGAGCUGCGAGAACUGUAUCCUUGGGUGCAUUCUUGUCUGAAGCUCCUGGUAACAAAGUGACCAGCACUGGCCUAACAGGCACUGAGGAACAAAUGACCUCAUAACCACAAACAACAGACACAUCACCAGCACAGGCCUGUCAGGCACUGAGCCACAAGUGACCUCACAACCACAAACAGCAUCCACCUGACCAGCACUGGCCUAUCAGGCACCGAGGCUCAAGUGACCUCACAACCACAAACAAAAACAACAUGACCAGAACUGACCUAACAGCAACUGAGGCACAAGUGACCUCACAACCACUAACAGGAGGCAGAUGACCAGCAACGGCCUAUCAGGCACUGAGGCACUGGUAACCUCACAACCACAAACUGCACCCACAUGACCAGCACUGGCCUAUCAGGCACCGAGGCUCAAGUGACCUCACAACCACAAACACCAGCCACAUGAUCAGCACUGGCCUAUCAGGCACUCAGGCACAAGUGACAUCACAACCACAAACUCCACCCACAGCACCAGCACUGGCCUAUCAGGCACUGAGCCACAAGUGACAUCACAAACACAAACUGCACCCACAGGACCAGCACUGGCCUAUCAGGCACUGAGGCACAAGCAUCACCAAAGCUAUGGGCAUGCUGUUGGCCUACCAGAUUCAGAGGCACAACUCACCUCACAAGCACAAAUGGCAUCGACCUGCCUGCUGCUGCCCUAUCUGGGACCGAGUCACAAGGGAUCUGAAAAGUGCAAGCUCACCUGGGCCACUCUCACAUCCUUCGAUUACGCUGUGAUCACUCCA
rnacentral:lncRNA from 1 species